AUUGAACGCUGGCGGAAUGCUUUACACAUGCAAGUCGAACGGCAGCACGGACUUCGGUCUGGUGGCGAGUGGCGAACGGGUGAGUAAUAUAUCGGAACGUGCCCAGUCGUGGGGGAUAACGUAGUGAAAAUUACGCUAAUACCGCAUACGAUCUACGGAUGAAAGCGGGGGAUCGCAAGACCUCGCGCGAUUGGAGCGGCCGAUAUCAGAUUAGGUAGUUGGUGAGGUAAAGGCUCACCAAGCCGACGAUCUGUAGCUGGUCUGAGAGGCACGACCAGCCACACUGGGACUGAGACACGGCCCAGACUCCUACGGGAGGCAGCAGUGGGGAAUUUUGGACAAUGGACGCAAGUCUGAUCCAGCCAUUCCGCGUGCAGGACGAAGGCCUUCGGGUUGUAAACUGCUUUUGUACAGAACGAAAAGGUCUCUAUUAAUACUGGGGCUCAUGACGGUACUGUAAGAAUAAGCACCGGCUAACUACGUGCCAGCAGCCGCAGUAA
rnacentral:rRNA from 1 species